GAGAGAGCGCUGAGGUGACGAGAGACUGGGAACUGAGGUCUUCCGGUCUGAGGUGCUGAGGUCUCAGGAUCGAGGGAUGAAAGAGAAGAGGUUAAGAAAAAACAUGAACCCAGUAGCAAGGCAGUACUAAAGGCU
rnacentral:lncRNA from 1 species